GACACUGUGUCCGAGUGGUUAAGGAGAUGGACUAGAAAUCCAUUGGGCUCUGCCCGCAGGGGUUCGAAUCCCCUUGGUGUCG
rnacentral:tRNA from 1 species